UACGUAGGGUGCGAGCGUUUGUCCGGAAUUAUUGGGCGUAAAGAGCUUGUAGGCGGUUUGUCGCGUCUGCUGUGAAAAUCCGGGGCUCAACCCCGGACUUGCAGUGGGUACGGGCAGACUAGAGUGUGGUAGGGGAGACUGGAAUUCCUGGUGAUAGCGGUGAAAUGCGCAGAUAUCAGGAGGAACACCUGAGGUGAAGACGGGUUGCUGGGCCGACACUGACGCUGAGUGCGCGAAAGCCCAGGGGAGCAAACGGG
rnacentral:rRNA from 1 species